UACGAAGGGGGCUAGCGUUGUUCGGAAUUACUGGGCGUAAAGGGCGCGUAGGCGGUGUGUCAAGUCAGGCGUGAAAGCCCCGGGCUCAACCUGGGAACAGCGCUUGAGACUGGCACGCUCGAGUUCGGGAGAGGAUGGUGGAAUUCCCAGUGUAGAGGUGAAAUUCGUAGAUAUUGGGAAGAACACCGAUGGCGAAAGGCAGCCAUCUGGACCGACACUGACGCUGAGGCGCGAAAGCGUGGGAGCAAACAGG
rnacentral:rRNA from 1 species